rnacentral:misc_RNA from 1 species
GUGUAUAACCCUCGUAUCUUGAAUUAAGCAUCCACAAUAAUAUAAAACAAAUUUACACAAAGCAUCUAUAAAAAGCUAGCCUUAACGAGCCCAGGCAAAGCUUAAUUAAUUUAUAAUAAAAUAUUUCAUAUUAAUUUUUUUUUCAUUCAAAACCACACAAAAACCAUAACAACCUUAAUUAAUUUGAUAAUUAAGAAGAAUGAUUUCAAUAUCUAGUUAAAUCAUGUCAUCGCCUUCUUCAACUUCAGCUUCUGCUUCAUCGUCAAAGGUAACAGUUGGUUCAGCAUCACCAAUAAAUGGGAACCCUGCAUGUUCAUCAUUCACUUCAUUCUGAGUCUCCUCUUCAUGAGUUUUCUCAUGCUCUUCUUCUUCUUCUUCAUCAUCUUCUUCUUCUUACUACAACAAGAUUGUUAUUGUAAUGGGGAAGAGCAAGAAGCCUCGCCCUCCUCCUCCAAAGGGUUCUGAGCCAGCUCCUCCAAGAAUUACAUCAAAUCUCAAGCAGAAUUUGCAGUUUUUGAAGUUAUGGAAGGAAUUUCAAAAGAGGAAGUCUAGCACACCCAAGCCUGCUACCAGUUACCGCAAAAAGAAAGUGGACAACGAAGACCUUCCAGAAGAUACAGAACUCUAUCAUGAUCCUACCUUGUCCCUCUACUAGUAAUACUCUUUCCAGGUUCCUUUCUUAUUGGAGUUUACUAUUUCAGCCAUCAAGUUUUUAGACUCUUGGAAAAGGAUUUUUGUUUGAUCUACCAAUUAUAAUUUACAGUACAAACCAGGUUAUAGACAACGCAGUCCCCGUCUUGCUUGUUGAUGGCUAUAAUGUAUGUGGCUAUUGGGCGAAGCUGAAGAAGCAUUUUAUAAAUGGACGACUUGAUAUUGGCCGACAAAAAUUAAUUGAUGAACUUGUAACAUUCAGUAUGCUUAGAGAGGUGAAAGUGGUAGUUGUCUUUGAUGCCAUGAUGUCAGGGCUUCCUACGCACAAGGAAAAUUUCGCUGGUGUUGAUGUGGUUUACUCGGGUGAAUCAUGUGCUGAUGCAUGGAUCGAAAGAGAGGUUACUGCCUUGAAGGAGGAUGGAUGUCCAAAAGUUUGGGUUGUGACGUCUGAUCGUAUGCAACAACAUGCGGCGCACGGAGCAGUAUGCAUUCUUUGGAUAGUUUACUAUUGUUGCAUUGAAUUUCCUUGAUCUAGUAAACUUUGAUUUGCACUUAUGACUUAUGCUUUAGAAAUAACCAAUUUUAGCCUAUACUUUAGUUGUUGGGUGCUCUUGUGGUUAGGCCUCCAAAACCCUGUUAGUUAUGUGUAAAAUUAAGGUAAAUUACUAAAUCCCUUUAUGUUGGCAAAAUUAUACACUUUGGUCCAUGUCGUUUCAAAAUUAGCGAUUUCAGUUCUUACACCUCCUAACCACCAUCAGUGAAAGGCAUGCAAUUUUGAGAGACUAAAUUGUUUUAUAAUAUAAGGACCAAAAUUUGAUAUGAUUUCAGAUAUUAGGAAAUAAAGUGUAAUACUAAAAAUUUAUAGUUUUAUAAUUAAGGAUUAAAGUGUUGAUUCAUUAAGAAACCAUGGGGGCCAAAAUUAUUAAUAUUGAAGUAGUAAAGAUCAAAGUGUAUAUUAUGGAAAAUUUCAAUUGGGUUUUAGUAACUUACCUUAAAUUAACUUAUAAAAAGAAAAAUACGGUCACAUAAUGAUAAAUUUGGUAACCUAAUAUCAGUAGAUCCUUCUUUCUAUUGACUUAUCCCUCUAUAUUGGCCAUAUUGGAAAUUAAUUUUGCAUAGAAUUGAAUGGGUUUUCAUGACCUGGCAGCGCAAUUGCACCUUAUAACUAUUGGCAAAGUUGGUUAUAUCCAAGUACAGUUGUAAGUAUGAUUUUAAUAUUAGAGUUUAAAACAGGUGUGUACAAGUAGAAAUAGAAUCACAUCCCACUUAUAAAUAAAAAUAUUAUAGGGAAUAGAAGUCCUUAUAAACAAUUUAAAAUCAUGAUUAUAGUAGUAAGACUUACAUUUCCCUCAAUACUCAUACUCAACUAGGCAUUGGUCCCAAAUUAGUUGAUUCAAUUUUCUCUGUUUCACUCAUUCUAGGAGUACAUCUUUACAAAGAUCUAGAACUUUUAAAUUCUUUCUCACUAUAUCCCCCACGCUUCACUCAAUAAAUAAUAUAGAUUGAAAUAGAAUUAGGAAAUCGUAUUGUAUAGAAAAUCCUAUAAUUGUUGGGAUUAUAAAUUAAAUAAAAUAGAAAAUAAAAGAUUGAAAAUGCAAUUAGUGAAUCUUAUAGGUAGUAGAAAUUUAGAGUUUCAGUAAUGUAAAAGUAUCUGAAAUUUUAUUUUGUUCAUGAUGUAAUAUUUGGUUGUCUUUACAAAAGUUCUGGCUGGCUGCAAAAGCUUAAGUGUCAGUUUAAUAGAUGAAGUUAGAAUGUGAAGGCCAUCGGUCAAAUCAUUGCUUUGUAUCAGUUCCAUUGCUGCUUCUUAUUAAAUAACAAUAACUAAGCCUUAAUCCUAAAUUGGUUGGGGUCAGUUAUAUGGAUUUUUUUUUUGCCAUUCAGCUCUAUUAUACACAAGGUCCUCAACUCCUCAUCAAUAUCCAAAACUUGUAAAUCCUUUGGUGUUAUUUCCCUCAAUGUCAUCUUAGGCCUCCCCCUUUCUCUUCUCCCUCCUUCCCCUACUAACCUAUCACCCUUUCGUAUUGGGGCAUUUGACUCUUUGUGUUGUGCAUGACCAAAUCAUAUUAAACGAUCCCCCUUCAUUUUAUUUCCAAUAUGUGCCAAGUGUAUUGUCUAGAGGAUGUGGUCAUUUUUAAUCUUAUCCAUUAUCAUGUUCUUUAUAUCAUAUGAAACCAUACGAUAUAAAUGCUGCUGCUUGUUAAAAAUUGUACCAAAAUUAACCAUCCUGUAUUUUCUUUGUUUUGGAAUCAGCUUUCA